GUUAACCAUUCCUCUCCUCUGUCCCAACAGGUGUCUGUAUAGAUGUUAACCAUUCCUCUCCUCUGUCCCAACAGGUUUCUGUAUAGAUGUUAACCAUUCCUCUCCUCUGUCCCAACAGGUGUCUGUAUAGAUGUUAACCAUUCCUCUCCUCUGUCCCAACAGGUGUCUGUAUAGAUGUUAACCAUUCCUCUCCUCUGUCCCAACAGGUGUCUGUAUAGAUGUUAACCAUUCCUCUCCUCUGUCCCAACAGGUGUCUGUAUAGAUGUUAACCAUUCCUCUCCUCUGUCCCAACAGGUGUCUGUAUAGAUGUUAACCAUUCCUCUCCUCUGUCCCAACAGGUGUCUGUAUAGAUGUUAACCAUUCCUCUCCUCUGUC